rnacentral:tRNA from 1 species
GCGGCGGUGGCGAAACGGGAAACGCGGCAGUCUCAAACACUGUUGUCCGCAAGGACUUGUGGGUUCGAUUCCCACCCGCCGCACCA